rfam:Camelus ferus unplaced genomic scaffold scaffold1739, whole genome shotgun sequence.
GAGGGUAUAGCUCCAUGGUAGAGUGCCUGCUUAGCAUGAGCAAAGUCCUGGGUUCAAUCCCCAGUACCUCCA